AUGGUUUUUAAUAUUUCUAAGUCACAUUAAUUAUUUACCAGUCACAGUUUACAGUUUUAACAGUCAAAAUUAAUUUGAAAGCUUCAACAGCAACAGUUUUGAUUCAUUUUUUAUGAUAAAAUACUAACAGUGCAUCUUUUAUGUUUUUUUUUGUCACUGACGCUGUAUGAUUUUUUUCAUCUUUUGUGUUUAAAUACUAACAAUAACAUUGAUUUGGUUAGAAGAGUUUGAUUUGGUUAGGCCACUCCGCCAACAAACUCUUGUUCUUGACAAUCAUAUGAGAUUAUUUUCAUUAAUUUAUAUCAUCGCUUGGAAAGUAUAUAUACUAUAAAAAUAUUUAAAAUUUAAUCAGAACACAUAUAAAUACUCUUUUCAAAAAAGUUUCCUAUAUAAACAAAUUUUUUUUUGGAGCAAUUCCUAUAGAAACAAUUCAAAUUUAAUAAACCAACCUCCUUUUUGGUAUGGGGUUGUUGGUCUAAUUUAAUGCUAGUGACUCUCUUCUUCAACCAUCUUCAUAUUUAGAUCUUGUUCUUCACUUUGCAGUCUCAUAGACUUUGCAAAUAGCCACCUUCUUUUCUCUCCUCUGAUUCUUCUACUUAGUUCUUUUAUUUUGGACGUUGCUAAAAAUAAGAGUUCUGCGCGGAUCCGAUGAUCUUCACUGAGUGAUAGAGCUCAAGGUACUCAAGUGCAGGACGAUUCCAUGACCAGUCUUGCUUCAUCAGUGAUUUAAACCACUCUCUAUACUUAAAGCAAUGCUCCAAUCAACGAUAGUACAAUUAUCCUUACACCUGUUGAGUACUAAUUACUGAAACGCUAAUACUGUAGGCUUUGUAGCACACCAAACUUGUAGACAUGCAUGGAGUCAUAUAGAAUAUA